UGGGCGUAAAGCGUGCGCAGGCGGUUGUGCAAGACCGAUGUGAAAUCCCCGAGCUUAACUUGGGAAUUGCAUUGGUGACUGCACGGCUAGAGUGUGUCAGAGGGGGGUAGAAUUCCACGUGUAGCAGUGAAAUGCGUAGAGAUGUGGAGGAAUACCGAUGGCGAAGGCAGCCCCCUGGGAUAACACUGACGCUCAUGCACGAAAGCGUGGGGGGCAAACAGGAUUAGAUACCCUGGUAGUCCACGCCCUAAACGAUGUCAACUAGUUGUUGGGGAUUCAUUUCCUUAGUAACGUAGCUAACGCGUGAAGUUGACCGCCUGGGGAGUACGGUCGCAAGAUUAAAACUCAAAGGAAUUGACGGGGACCCGCACAAGCGGUGGAUGAUGUGGAUUAAUUCGAUGCAACGCGAAAAACCUUACCUACCCUUGACAUGCCACUAACGAAGCAGAGAUGCAUUAGGUGCUCGAAAGAGAAAGUGGACACAGGUGCUGCAUGGCUGUCGUCAGCUCGUGUCGUGAGAUGUUGGGUUAAGUCCCGCAACGAGCGCAACCCUUGUCUCUAGUUGCUACGAAAGGGCACUCUAGAGAGACUGCCGGUGACAAACCGGAGGAAGGUGGGGAUGACGUCAAGUCCUCAUGGCCCUUAUGGGUAGGGCUUCACACGUCAUACAAUGGUGCAUACAGAGGGUUGCCAAGCCGCGAGGUGGAGCUAAUCCCAGAAAAUGCAUCGUAGUCCGGAUCGUAGUCUGCAACUCGACUACGUGAAGCUGGAAUCGCUAGUAAUC
rnacentral:rRNA from 1 species